rnacentral:lncRNA from 1 species
GACCCAAAAACGUCCAAUGAGAGACCAACAGGCCCCUGACCUAAGUCAGAGCUAGACUGCAGAACUCUCAGCCCAGCUCUGCAGCAGACAUCUGCGUCAUCCUCCCAGAAAUUCAACUCAGGCCACACUUCUGGCAAAAGAAGUUUCACCCUGACUGUCCUUGUUUUCAGUCAGCUGGGCUCAGUGGGAUCUAAAAACCUGGGACAGAGUGUAGAUCCAGUAGAGGAGCCCAGGCCUCUCCUCCACGCACCCCUCACUGGCACCCCUCACCAUCUCCCAUACAUUCCCUAUGGUGCAGCCUCUCAGUCCUAGCACUAAGCUCAAAAUACAGAUAAGAGAACAAACAGUGCAAAAAGCAAAAGGUGAACAACAGAGUAAUUCUUGACACAUACAAUACAAAAAUAAAAAUAAAGAAUCCCACCCCUUUAACCUAAACUUCAUGUACCUAUAUCUUGGAGGAGCCACAAAACAAAAACAAAAACAAAAAAACUUUCAGGCUACAAUUCUCAAACGACUAAAUGCUGGCCUGGAGUAAUCAUUAAAGAGCCAAAACCCAGGACAUGAGCCCAAGAGCUACCUAUUUGGUGGUAAAGGAGAAGACAUUCAAGCAGAGAACCCCAAAUCCCCGUGUCUCCUUCCCUUCUUGGCUAUAACUUAGUGGGAUGGUUGAGAGGGAGAAGAAAUUUCAAAUGAGCCAGAUUAAGGAAACAAACAAACAAACAAAACUGAGAAGAAAUCAAGUCCCCAACAGGCACUGAAAUCAAAAUGAUUUGUUGUGGUAACAAGUCAGAGGCGAUCUGAGGACCCGACAUAACCGAAACGUCUUGGAUGCUGGACAGUCUAUAACUGGCACAUGCCAGGGAGACAAGCAAUGACAAAGCUCAAACACUAAAGGUGGGACCAUCAC